rfam:[Eubacterium] eligens ATCC 27750 chromosome, complete genome.
ACAGCAGGUAGAGGUCGCACGAUUCAAGAGUAAUUAUCCUGAUGUCCCGGAAGACAUAUGAAGGAUAGUAAAAGGGGAAAGUGCCGAAGAGGAUUGUUUCCGGAGCAGUCUUACUGGGCGUAGGAUUAAUAGUUUUACGACUGUCAUCGAAUAGAUGGAGAGCUACUUAAAGG